UCUACAAGAGGCUAGGAUCCUUCAACGUCUGUACAAAGAUGUUGAAGAUGUUCUACGAGUCGCUGGUGGCGGGCGCCUUCUUGUACGCCGUGGCUUGCCGGGGCAGCGGGCUAAGAGUGAGGGACACAAACAGACUGGACAAGUUGGUAGAGAAGGCGGGUAACGUGGUGGGAGUGGAGCUGGACUCUCUGGCGGUGGUGUCAGAGAGGAGAAGUCCAGCAAAACUCCUAGCCAUUAUGGACAACACCUCCCACCCACUACCCUCGGACCUUGCGGAGAGAAUGAGCACGUUCAGUGGAAGGCUCAGACUAAAAAAAAUCUUUAAAAAAAAAAAAAUCUUAACCCAGACAGUUUAAUUCUUAUUUUAAUUCAUAUCUAUUUUGAGGUGCGGUGGGCUUAAUGGCACGUUUUUAUAAUGGGGUACAUAUUAAGAAAGUUAUAGUAUUUUUAACAAAAAGGUCAUGACUAUAAUCUUGAGCCCCAAUGACUUUGUAUUGAAGAGGUUGACCAUAAAUUAGUGCAUUUUGACCAGGUUAAAACAAUCAUAAGUUUUUAAACAUGUAUCACAGGAAAACUAUUCUUAUAUCAUGUUGCUAGUCUUAACAAGACCUGUCUGAUAAUACCGGUUUCAUUUAAAUUAAUGAAUAUUUAACAUUUUACACACACACCUAUUUUAAUUUCCUAAAUAUAUGCAGUUUAUACAAUCAAUAACAUGAUAAAAAACAUACUCGGCUACAGUCAGCGAGUAAGCAAAUGUACUGCUGCUUUCAAAAUGGCGGGGCAAAUUGGUUAAUCAUUGAACACUUGGAUGCUAUCUCUUAUUUAUUACAGCUAGCCUGCCAAUAAAACGCAGCCCGGACCUUCAUUGUCAAUUGUCACUUUACCUACAACAGUAUUAUAAAAGUGGUGUUUAGGGCACGUCCAACCGGUAGGAGGCCACGGGGAAUACCCAGGACACGUUGGGAAGACUAUGUCUCCCGGCUGGCCUGGGAACGCCUCGGGAUCCCCCGGGAAGACCUAGACGAAGUGGCUGGUGAGAGGGAAGUCUGGGCUUCCCUGCUUAGGCUGCUGCCCCCGCGGCCCGACCUCGGAUAAGCGGAAGAUGAUGGAUGGAUGGAUGGAGUAUUAUAAAACAUUUUUAAGUUAAGGCCCCCAAAUUAAUAUGCACUGCAGAAUCUAAUUGUGAAGGUCAUUAUGUAUGCUAACACUACUUGUUGGGCAGACGCCAUUAGCGUUACCGCAACCUCCCAAAGGACCACUUCGUCGUCACAACCCCCUAAAUAUUUUCACUUCACAACAUUACAUGGUUGACCAACUAAAAAAUAUUAGGAUACUUACCUCUCCAAGUCUAAUGUCACAAGCGUUGUGGUCGUCGUUUCCAAAAAAUUUCCCGCUUCUUCUUCUCUUUCUUCUUCUCUUUCUUCUUCGUUUUAGUUUAAGGUAGGCGCAGACAACGUUCAAAUGUUACGCCACCUACUGUUUCCCCGCUUCUUCUUCUGACGUUAAUUGAUGGCAAACAACGCGUGAUGUCCGCCGCCGUCUGAUAGAAAGCAUAAAUUUUCUCAAUUGCCUUCAUUUGAAAGUUGCUCAUAGCCAAAAAUGGCUAUUUUCAGAUGGACAUAUAACUUUAUCUAAAUUCUGAGAUGUGAAUCUCAACAUCCUCGCGAGAUUUAGCACGACACCCCAUGAAUCUGUCCAAUCAUUUUUGCUCUUCCUGGAAAACACGCAUGCGCAUUUAGUGGGCGGAUGUGACUUGAUUUCGAUUGGAAGAAACAAUUCAGCAUUGAAGGAAUAACAACUGAAAUCAUCCCGUCCUGCAGCCACCAAUGUGAAUGUGGAAAAUGACGACCAAUGUUUAAAGCGUGCAUAUCACAACAUACAAGAUGCCGUCAUGGCGACACACAACUUAUCACCCAAGAUGCUCGUCACUCCUGUUGCAUGCUGGCAGCAGGGUAACACUGCAGGAGGCGGUGCCUCCUGAUGGAACCCAAAACACUGCUCUUCAAAUGGAACACAUCCAACCUUCAGGUGUCCAUGCAGGUUGUACCACUCUGGAACAUCAAGCCUCUCCCUACGUACCAGCACAUGAAAUUAUUUCUACUUCUAACCAUCAAAGACAUGGAAAACCAUUUUCCAGUUCAGCCCUCCAGAUGCUCCUGAUGGCCUAACAACUGAACUACAUGUCGAUGCUGAGUAUGAUCUAUCUCAAUCAUUUGAGGAAGCUCUCCCUGAUAUAGGAGAUUGGAUGUACAAUGACGGACAUACGUUUAAUGAAGGAUUUGAAGAUAGUUUGAGUGAGGAGUGUGCAGAAGAGUCACAUUUCAAGGACACAACAGACAAACCAAUAAAUGACAAUGCAUCAGAAACCGUGGCAGAGUGUCUUCUGAUCAUCAUGGGUUAUGUAAACUGUCAUAAAGUCACUGAUAAGGCCCUAAGUGAUAUGCUCAAAAUGUUCAAGUUGCUUUGUCCCGAUAGUCUGAACACAGACUGCUUAAACAGUGUGCAGAAGUUCAAAAACUUUUUUUUAUCCCGCUCUGCAUCAACGCCUAUUAUAUUACAUAAAUCCUCCAGUAAUUGUUUUGGACCAAUUGAAAGUAAACAAAUAAAAUGCCUGUUUUGUGGGACCAGUGUGUCAGAAGAAAGAUUAUCAUCCUUUUUUAAAGUAUGGACAGAUUGAUUUCUUCUUUACCAUAGCACAAUCAUGUGCCAAAUGGGCCCUUGUUCGUGAUUUUAAACAUGCAGGUUUUUCUUUGCUGCAAGAUAGUGUAACAUAUGAGACAUGCAGUCCUGUUAUUCCCCUAUUGGAAACCUCUGCCAGUACAGUAGUAUCCUUGGAUGACAUAUUGGGUAAAGUUGUUUUACUUGACUCCACAUUCAUGCCUGGCAUUGUGUUUGCAGUUAAAUUCCCAAACACACUUGAAAAGCUUUAAAUAAUUAAGAACUGAACUGGCUUAAGAAGCCACAAAUCAAAUAUUUGAUCAUUGUUAUAAAUGCUCUGAAAAUACACACUGAUGUGAUGUUGCCGUGGAUGCUGUAAAAGUCUGUAAAUAUGUACUGUAUAUGGAGUACCAUUGUUAAUUAAGUUUUUGAAUUGUGUGUCAUAUUUCAGUGGCCAAUAUAUUAAAUUUACUUUUGAAAUAAAA